rnacentral:rRNA from 1 species
CCUACGGGUGGCAGCAGUGGGGAAUAUUGCACAAUGGGGGAAACCCUGAUGCAGCAACGCCGCGUGAGUGAAGAAGUAUUUCGGUAUGUAAAGCUCUAUUAGCAGGGAAGAAGAAAGACGGUACCUGACUAAGAUGCCCCGGCUAACUACGUGCCAGCAGCCGCGGUACUACGUAGGAGGCAAGCGUUAUCCGGAUUUACUGGGUGUAAAGGGAGCGUAGACGGCUGUGCAAGUCGGAGGUGAAAGCCCGUGGCUCAACCGCGGAACUGCUUUGGAAACUGUAUAGCUUGAGUACUGGUGAGGCAGGCGGAAUUCGUAGUGUAGCGGUGAAAUGCGUAGAUAUUAGGAAGAACACCGGUGGCGAAGGCGGCCUGCUAGACAGAAACUGACGUUGAGGCUCGAAAGCGUGGGGAGCAAACAGGAUUAGAUACCCGGGUAGUC